rnacentral:rRNA from 1 species
UUAUUAGUAAUAAAUUAGACAAAACAAAUUAUUUGAAUUUUCUUAUUUAACUAAAAUAAACCCUUUAUAUAAAACUUAGCCAGUUUAAAAAUAUUUUUAAUAAAAAAUACCCACAUAUCUUAAAAAUAUGUGGGUAUUAAAAAACAAACAACUUUACAGACGCAGUAUAUGCAUAUAUAAAUAUAUACCUUUAAAGAUAUAUUUACAAUACUUCUUUAAGUUUUUCACUUGAAUUGAACCGAAUUUACUAUUAACUGUCUUUUUAA